AACCCCCCACCACCUACCACCACCACGGCCACCCCAAAGGACCGCGACGCCAACAGACAGUCACAAACGCUGAUGUUGCGGGCAGAAAGCAUAAAAGAGGUGACAAUUGUAUACUUUCUAGGACAAGCACGGCUUCUCCUUUUGGUUCCCACGGACCCGGCACCCCACCUGCAUGACGAUUUAUUUGUAUCUGGGAAAAUAUUCUCUCUAGUUUAAAAUGAUUUAAAGAGUCGACUAUACAAAAAAACGCCACCAUCGCCGCCGCGACAAGACGACAAAAGCAAACAGACAAAAAGAAAAAAAAUCUGACAUCUCCGUUCUGAAUUUGUUUUUUUUUUUUAAAGGAAAGAAAGAAAGGAAAAAAAAAACUCCUCGAGAGAAAUAGCAAAUGUUUCUUCCUUCUGUUGCUCUUUUCUCCUUUAGCCCUAUCCAUCCAUCUAUCUAUCUAUCUAUCUAUCUAUCUAUCUAUCUAUCUAUCUAUCUAUCUCUGUUUUUUAAGUCCAAGUAUUGGUCAAACAAGAUGCAAUCCUCUGUUUUUGUUCAGCCGACAAUCAUUUUCUUCGUAAGCACCUUUUUCUCUCCACUCUGUCACUGCCUGUGUGGGUACUGGUUAUAAAUGUGGAAAAAGAAU
rnacentral:lncRNA from 1 species